CAGGCGGUUUGNAAANAANGAUUUNAAUUCCCGGGGNUUAACNUNGAAANUGCAUUUUUAAUUUCCAGGCUAGAGUAUNUCAGAGGGGGUAGNAUUCCACGUGUAGCAUUGAAAUGCGUAGAGAUGUGGAGGAAUACCGAUGGCGAAGGCAGCCCCCCUGGGAUAAUACUGACGNUCAUGCACGAAAAGCGUGGGGAGCAAACAGGAUUAGAUACCCUGGUAGUCCACGCCCUAAACGAUGUCAACUAGCUGUUGGGGCCUUCGGGCCUUAGUAGCGCAGCUAACGCGUGAAGUUGACCGCCUGGGGAGUACGGUCGCAAGAUUAAAACUCAAAGGAAUUGACGGGGACCCGCACAAGCGGU
rnacentral:rRNA from 1 species